GAGGGUGGCGGGGGAGUAAAGAGGAAAGGAGGGGUAAGAAGGGAGUAAGCACCGGUGCUGUAGGGGUAGGUGUCCGCCGCCGGGCCGUUAGACGAGACGCGGCGGGGAGUGAGGAGGACCGCUGCGGCCCCGGUAGGUGGCGCACGCGAGAGGAGAAGGAGGGGUACCGGCGGAACGAGGGGUAGUGGAUGCGGGUGAGACCGUCGGGGGUUGGGAUCAAGAGAGUGUGGGGCAUCCCUCUCCUCCUCACUCCGAAGACCCGCUCCUCCACGACGACCCGCUCCUCCGUGAACUAAACGCAAGCGGCCGCGACCUAGGCGCACGCGGCCGCGAACUAGACGAGGCAACACCGAGGCCGCUGGAAUGGGACACCGAGGCCCUGUCCUUCCGAUGGGGCGGCUGUAUGUCCUCUGAAGUUGUGCGGUUACCUACGUCGGUCGGAGGUUGAGUGGUGCGUGGACGUGGUUGAACUACGUCCCUCUCCUCCUCACUCCGAAGAGAGUGCCCUACUGCGGGUCGGUACCCCGUCGUCGUUGGGUUCAAUCAAUUAAUACACGGGAGUUACCGGCACAAACUGUCCUCCCCGGUUCCUUCACGAAAGCUAACAAAGUUCUGACUCGAACUAUUUUGCCGUAUUAGGUGAUAAGGACUCUAGUUUGGUACGUUGGAACGUUUAUAACAUGAUGUCGGGUUUCGAUAACCCUGACCACUGUAGUAUCCAAAGGUACAAUACUUCUUUGGUAGUUCCAACUGUUUCCUCGUCCCGCCUCCGCAGAAGAUCGGAUUGCUUCGGAACCGCCGUCGCCGUACAUUUUCGGAAAGCUUGAAGUCCAGUCUCUUCUCGUACGUGGAUACAGCCGCUCCUCGAGGAGCAGCGCCGGCACCGUCCCGCAGACACGCCGACGUGGACACAACCCCUUGUUGUGCAGCAGCACCGGCAGCAGCUCACUGAGCCGCUGGAGCAGCAGCCCACGGAGCCGCCGACGCGUCCCGUCGCUGCAGCGCCGGCAGCAGCCCACGGAGUCGCCGACGCGUCCCGUCGCUGCCCCGUACAUUAGACCUGCAGCUCGGACCUAACUAAGGGCGAUUAAAUCGAGUCAACAAAAGCACAUACUGAGAGGCACAUAAACCUGCACCCAACAAUGAAAAAGAAAGAACUCUUUUCCUGCACCCAAAUGGACAUCUACAUCUGAGCACGCCCGCACCCAACAAACAUGCCCGUCUCAAAAGCAGGCGGCAGCAGUUCAAGAGAGCAAAUUAUCAUCACAUCUAAAUCCUCGUGUACAACGUUGAUCGAGAAUAAGACAUCGGUCGAAGAGAAGAGAGAAGAGAAGAGAAGGAAGGUACAGUCGUCUUUUUAUUAUAAAAUUGAGAAUAUUAGAGG
rnacentral:rRNA from 1 species